GAACUGGUGAGUACACGUGGGAAACCUGCCCAGAAGCGGGGGAUAACACCUGGAAACAGAUGCUAAUACCGCAUAACAACUUGGACCGCAUGGUCCGAGUUUGAAAGAUGGCUUCGGCUAUCACUUUUGGAUGGUCCCGCGGCGUAUUAGCUAGAUGGUGGGGUAACGGCUCACCAUGGCAAUGAUACGUAGCCGACCUGAGAGGGUAAUCGGCCACAUUGGGACUGAGACACGGCCCAAACUCCUACGGGAGGCAGCAGUAGGGAAUCUUCCACAAUGGACGAAAGUCUGAUGGAGCAACGCCGCGUGAGUGAAGAAGGGUUUCGGCUCGUAAAACUCUGUUGUUAAAGAAGAACAUAUCUGAGAGUAACUGUUCAGGUAUUGACGGUAUUUAACCAGAAAGCCACGGCUAACUACGUGCCAGCAGCCGCGGUAAUACGUAGGUGGCAAGCGUUGUCCGGAUUUAUUGGGCGUAAAGCGAGCGCAGGCGGUUUUUUAAGUCUGAUGUGAAAGCCUUCGGCUCAACCGAAGAAGUGCAUCGGAAACUGGGAAACUUGAGUGCAGAAGAGGACAGUGGAACUC
rnacentral:rRNA from 1 species